GUGGGGAAUCUUAGACAAUGGGCGCAAGCCUGAUCUAGCCAUGCCGCGUGAGCGAUGAAGGCCUUGGGGUUGUAAAGCUCUUUCGUGGGGGAAGAUAAUGACUGUACCCCAAGAAGAAGCCCCGGCUAACUCCGUGCCAGCAGCCGCGGUAAUACGGAGGGGGCUAGCGUUGUUCGGAAUUACUGGGCGUAAAGCGCACGUAGGCGGACUGGAAAGUCAGGGGUGAAAUCCCGGGGCUCAACCCCGGAACUGCCUUUGAAACUCCCAGUCUUGAGUUCGAGAGAGGUGAGUGGAAUUCCGAGUGUAGAGGUGAAAUUCGUAGAUAUUCGGAGGAACACCAGUGGCGAAGGCGGCUCACUGGCUCGAUACUGACGCUGAGGUGCGAAAGCGUGGGGAGCAAACAGGAUUAGAAACCCCUGUAGUCC
rnacentral:rRNA from 1 species